CUUGGAAGGAAAAUCACUAUCGCGCCCGUGAGGGAGUGAUGCAGUGAGUGUUGGAGGAUAUGGCCUGGCGGUGACUCGUGGCGGGAAUAGUACGUGCGGGUUAACGCAACACGCUACCCCGCCAUCCCUCACUCAACCCGAGGCGUCUAGUAAAAUUCGGCCAUUUGUUCAGCGGCAGCAACGGAACACGGGGAGGCGGCAACACACCCCAUGUGAUGCAGUACACAUGGGGGAGAGAAAUAUGAAAACAGCAUUUGUUCGCCACGGUACAACAAAGCGCCAGCAGCACAAACCACACUCUCCGCCGCUGAGCCAACACACAGCCCGGCCUGGAAUCACAGACAAGUGUAUUGUAGCGUACCUGAGCCGCGGGGAGCCGAAAGAUGGUACGCACAGAAGGAGAAUCAGGGUCAGUUUCGAGGUUCAACACGGAAUAUAGGAGAGGGGGAUUUGCUUUAAUUUUUAUAGCAGAAUAUUCAAAAAAUUCUUUUUAUAAGAGUUCUUUUCGUUAAUGUGUUUUAAGGAAGAAUACCUUGCAAGAAAAUAUUUAUUUAAAGUCUAUAUUUUUGGCAUUCAUUUUUGUGUGAGUUCGAGGAAGUUUACCUCGGCUUCGAUACGAUAAAUUGAUGUAUUUAGCUUGAAAAGGAUUUUUCCCAGUUUCUAUCAGUUAUUUAUUGUUUUUUAUUGGGGUAAAAUCUUUGUUUUGUAUUUGAUUUAUAAAUAUAAUUAAAAUAAUAUGUUAACACAA